rfam:Operophtera brumata OBRT01_Sc01802, whole genome shotgun sequence.
CGAUCUAUGGCUAAAUUGUUUAAGGCAUCGCCGAUGACAGGCGAGGGUGCGGGUUCGAGUCCCGCUAGAACGG